rnacentral:lncRNA from 1 species
AACAUCAAUCCCCUUUGUCUCUCUCACCUUCUCUCUCUCUCGGGCGACUCAAGAACAUCAUCCACCUUUGUCUCUCACAUCUCACACUUGAUUCCAAAUGUUGAGCAAGUAAAGGGUGUAGCAAUAUCAGUCCCCAUCAGUACCAUCUACCGUCGGAUUUCAUAUAGAUUUGUAGGCGGGUAUGUUCAACAGUGAUGAUUUGGGUUCUGAUUUGUGACUGCAGGGUUUGAUAAGUGGAGAUUCCGGUGGUGGAAGCUUUGAAGAUCGACAGUGACAAAGGCGGUUAGGGUUCCGGCCACGAAACCGACUUUCUGGGGUUUAAUCGUUGAUGUUCAUCAUUCGAUUUGCUCUUUGCUUUGGAGAUACUGUUCAACAAAUUAUGGCGAUUUCAUCAAUGUGCGAGCGAAGGAGAUGCUUCAACUCUGUUUCAUAACGACAGAGAGUUCGGCGAUCAGAGAUAAUGUUAUGAUGGGAACAUCAUCUGAGGUAUAGUUAUAAAAUAUACACAUGAACUGAAAGGGGGUGUCUGGAUUUGUGUUAUGGAAGUGAUUAUCUAUAUUUCAGCAAGCAUAUUCUGACAAUUAGAUAUAAGCAUAUGGGUUGUGGGUAGUGUACAUAAUUAGUAAAUAGUAAUUUAUGAUAAAACUUAACAGUGAGCCAUUUUGAACCGUUAUCGUUUCUCCCGAUUUGCUGCCCCAAACACAGAAUUAUCUGUCUAAACAGGCUAGCGAGUCAACCCGUUUAAAUUAUCUGUCUAAACGGGUAGCUUUCGAUUUGAGAAGUUUGGAAAUAGGUGGCUUCGUGGCUGCAGAUGCCACUUCCUUCUGGUCUGAUUUCAGUUUCAGAUUUGCUAAGGUUUGUUGCUGAGAUUAAGGCCUGCAAAAUGAAGGAAAAAGCUUGGGAAUAAGUGUCUUUAUUAACGUUUUGGAGGCUAUGGCUCAAUCGGAAUGACAAGGUAUAUAGAGGGGUUAUGCCUCCCCUCAAAAGAUGAUAGGUGAGAUUAAGGAAACUUCGUACUCAUGGAUUCAAAAUAGUAGGGGUGUUCAAAACUAUUCGUAUCCGAAAAUCCGAUCCGAAAUAUCCGAUAUCCGAAUCCGAAAU